rnacentral:rRNA from 1 species
GACGAACGCUGGCGGCGGGCUUAACACAUGCAAGUCGAACGGAAAGGCCCUGCUUUUGUGGGGUGCUCGAGUGGCGAACGGGUGAGUAACACGUGAGUAACCUGCCCUGGACUUUGGGAUAACUUCAGGAAACUGGGGCUAAUACCGGAUAGGAGCUCCUGCUGCAUGGUGGGGGUUGGAAAGUUUCGGCGGUUGGGGAUGGACUCGCGGCUUAUCAGCUUGUUGGUGGGGUAGUGGCUUACCAAGGCAUUGACGGGUAGCCGGCCUGAGAGGGGGACCGGCGACAUUGGGACUGAGAUACGGACCAGACUCGUACGGGAGGCAGCAGGGGGGAAUAUUGUACAAUGGGCGGAAGCCUGAUGCAGAAACGUCGCGUGCGGGAAGACGGCCUUCGGGUUGUAAACCGCUUUAGCCUGUGACGAAGCGUGAGUGACGGUAAUGGGUAAAGAAGCACCGGCUAACUACGUG